GGCAGUGUGGUCUAGUGGAAAGAGCACGCACCUGGGCGUCAAAGGACCUGGGUUCUAAUCCCAGCUCUGCCA
rnacentral:tRNA from 1 species